UACAGAGGGUGCGAGCGUUGUCCGGAAUCACUGGGCGUAAAGGGCGCGUAGGUGGCGCGACAAGUCAGUGGUGAAAGCUCGACGCUCAACGUCGAGUCGGCCACUGAUACUGUUGGGCUUGAGCACUGUAGAGGCUAAUGGAAUUCCGGGUGUAGCGGUGGAAUGCGUAGAGAUCCGGAAGAACACCGGUGGCGAAGGCGGUUAGCUGGGCAGUUGCUGACACUGAGGCGCGACAGCGUGGGGAGCGAACAGG
rnacentral:rRNA from 1 species